rnacentral:rRNA from 1 species
UACAGAGGUGGCAAGCGUUGUUCGGAAUUAUUGGGCGUAAAGCGCGUGUAGGCGGCUUAGCAAGUCGGGCGUGAAAGCCCUCGGCUCAACCGAGGAAGUGCACCCGAAACUGCUGAGCUUGAGUGCCGGAGAGGAUGGCGGAAUUCCCCAAGUAGAGGUGAAAUUCGUAGAUAUGGGGAGGAACACCGGUGGCGAAGGCGGCCAUCUGGACGGUAACUGACGCUGAGACGCGAAAGCGUGGGGAGCAAACAGG